rnacentral:lncRNA from 1 species
AAGGUGUACAGGAAAUACAGCAGAGGUUAUUUUUUACACUGUCCAUAUAUAUAUAGGACCACCCCUGGGACAACGUAAUGGGACUGUCUAAUUUGCAUCUGCACUUGCUAAUCAUUGCAUUCUUUAUCAGCAGUGUUGACAACAUGCAUUUACAGCAUGCCUCGUGGAAAACAACUCAGAGGAAGAAGUUUGAGAAGUCUGGUACCUGCCUGGUGCAGGGUGGUCACAACGGAAAAUUGCUGCAAAAAUUUGGCGAUUUAAGCAUGCAUUUCAACUUGUGACUAAACGUGGGAUAUCUAGAACAACAAUAAAACGUCCUGGACGAAAACAAAGCUUCUCUGCAAAAGCCAGAAGACAAAUCAUCCACAUGGCGGUCUCACAAAAGAUGUCUGCAGC